rnacentral:lncRNA from 12 species
GCUGUGUUUAACCAGCACUACAACUUUCUAAAAUGCUAAUAAUACUUUAACUGAAUACAUCCAAAAUAUUACCAGUUUAACAUGAUAUCUUUAUUGUGGUAAAAUAUAUGUAACAUAAAAUUUACCAUUUUAACCAUUAAAGCAGUGGCAUCAAGUAUAUUCCCAUUGUUGUGUGACCAUUACCACCAUCCAGCCACAGAAUAUUUUUCAUCUCCUCCUACCUGGAAAAAGCACUGCUUCAGGAGUUUGCAUGUCAUCCUUGCUCCGGGCAAUUUUCUCUGUAUCAUUUUCAAUGAUUACUUCAGCCCAAGGCUUCAUAUCCAGUUUGGGAAACCAAGCGUUUGUGAACUUUAAAAAGACAAAAGAGAAAACCAAUUUCAACUCAUAA